GAUGAAGAACGUAGCAAAAUGCGAUAAGUAAUGUGAAUUGCAGAAUUCAGUGAAUCAUCGAAUCUUUGAACGCACAUUGCGCCCGCUGGUAUUCCGGCGGGCAUGCCUGUUCGAGCGUCAUUUCAACCCUCAAACCCCCGGGUUUGGUGUUGGGGAUCGGCUCUGCCUCACGGCGGUGCCGCCCCCGAAAUACAUUGGCGGUCUCGCUGCAGCCUCCAUUGCGUAGUAGCUAACACCUCGCAACUGGAACGCGGCGCGGCCAUGCCGUAAAACCCCAACUUCUGAGUGUUGACCUCGGAUCAGGUAGGAAUACCCGCUGAACUUAAGCAUAUCAAUAAGCGGAGGA
rnacentral:misc_RNA from 1 species